rnacentral:lncRNA from 1 species
UCAUUUUCCUCUCCAAUAAAAUGGUCCAACAGGCAAUUGGCAUUUAGAGAAUUGGAUUGAUUGUGAUUGGAUGGAAAGGCUCUGUUAACCAUGCAGAAGAAACUGAAGAUGAAAUACAAUCCUGAUGUAGCUGAGGCUGUUGCAAUGUUAGAGAGUCUGAAGAUGUGCCUAUCGGUGGAUUGGAGGAAGAUGGUUUUGGAGAGAGAUUCUCUAACGUUAAUCUCACACUUGAAGAAAAAUACGACGAGCCUUCUGACCUUUCAUCAAAUUCUUGGUGACAUUCGAUUGCUAUUACCUAGUUUUGAUUAUAUUUUCUUUUUCUCAUGCUAAGAGGCAUGUUAAUAUCAUGGCUCACAACUUAGCACAAUUAGACGUUGAUUUAAGCUUAGACGUUUUCUCAUGUUCCUGCUGAUGGUUGAAUCUUUUUAUUGCAC